GAGAGUUCUAUGUGGGGUUAGGUGUGUCUGCAUGUGCUUGCGUCUAGAGGAAGAUCUCAUACAACCCAUGAAGGAUGACGUCAAGUGGUGAUCGUCAUCAAGAUUGCGGUGUGCAAGUUCAAGUGGAUCAACACAAAGAUAUCAUGCUUGAAGCCUGUCGUCCAUUGUGGUGGCAAUGGACUUGUGAAGAUAUACUGAAGAGUGGCUCACCCAUGUUGUGUAUGGGGGAGCAAUUAACUAGUCUUCAUCAAGCCAAUGCAAUCAAGAAGGUGGUCCAUCUUGAGGAAGCCAAGAUCAUCGUCAUCUAGCUCAAGAGGACGAGGUGCAAGGUAUAGGUUUGCCCUUGAUAGGUUUUCUGUUUUAGGAUAGAUUGUCGUUCUGUCAAGGGGGGAUCUCAAGUGAGUAGCUCGAUUGUAUCGUUCGUUGAGAGCUCGAACCAUUUGCAUCCUUGCAUCAUACUUCUUGGUUCUUAUUUGGUGUUUCUCUUUGUGAGUUUUAGAGCUUAUGGUCAUCUUCAUGACAAGAUUGAGUUCAUCGAAAACGGAG
rnacentral:lncRNA from 1 species